AACACCGCCGCCCAACACUCUGUGUCCCAGUCACUACCGGAGCUCCUGUCGCUUUGUUACCCUGACAGGCUCCACUACUUUUCUUUGUAGUCGUGUUAGUAUAAGGACAGGAGAUUUGGCAUCAGUUAUCGGCUGAACAUAUCAAGAAGUAGUUGUCGCACAGUGGUCACAUCCCAAAUGUCUGGGUUUAGUGCUGAAUAUGAAAAGUUUACUGAUACCAGAGAUGUGAAUACGGCCUUGCAACAAGGAUUAUUGAAGAAGGCUUUUGUUGGAGGUCAGGAUUAUUUUGAGUGUGUGGUGUGUCAUCGUAGUAUGGCUGGAACUGUUCCAGCUGAAGCACAUCUAAGGGGAUCACCUCAUUUCAAAGCAUUACGAAAUUAUACAUAUUCCUCGUCUUUGGGUGAAUCUCUCUCAAGGAUGCAUGUUAGUGAAAGUUUUUCACCUAAGGAAGAUACAAUAUCAUCUUGUUACUCCGGAACCAGUCCUGGUAUUGACGUAGUGAGAAAAGCCAUUGAAGAGGGUAUUGUAACUCAGUGUAAUGCAGCUGGUGUUACAACAUUAACAUGCGAAUUGUGCAAGGUACCAUGCACUGGAGAUGCCCCAAUGGCUCAACAUCUAGAUGGAGAGCCCCACAGGAAAAGACAAAGGAGAAUGGGUGCUGUGGUUGUAUCCAGAUCAUCUCAAGCAUCAGUAUUAUCUGUACACCCAGGGAGUGGUGCUGUACUUCCUCAGACAAGUUUCACCCUUGGAGCAACUGGCACAAGUGGAGAAGAUGCCAUCCAGGAAGCCUUCAAAUCUGGAAUAAGAGCGAGAGUCCUCUAAUGGAGUAGACAGUCUAAUCUGCAAAGUUUGCUGUAAGAGCUGCACUGGAGUUGUUCCAAUGAAACAACACCUUGAGAGUAGUGCUCAUAUCAGGAAACUAAGGAGUUGUGGCAUACCAGGUGGUGGAGGUGACAAGUUUGCAAAUUCUAUAUUAUCAUCACCAAUAGGUUACGACUCUCUCUCAGUAGGAAGUGAUACAGGUUCUGUGGGUUCCAGAGAUUAUGAAGAAGAGAUAGUUCCAUUAGUUACUGAUGGUUCACCAUCUUCUAGUAAUGACCAUAAAAAUCCCAAGUCAGAGGCAGAGUCUGAGGAGGCAGUCAUAGAGGUGGAUGGAAUGUUAAUGUGCAUGUUGUGUCAAGUACAGUGCACAGGGAAAGCCAAUAUGGCAGAGCACCUGCAAGGAGAUUUUCACCGCAGAAAGUGGCGGGACCAGAUAGACCAGCUGAAGAUGUUUGGCCCAAUAAAGACUGUAUCAACUCCUAGUCCUAGGUCCACACCAUCACCCAAGCCAUCAUCAAGUCCAAAGUUGCCCGUUGAAAAUGCUAAAAAUUCUGUUACACAGAACUUUUUGCAAAGUAACUCAUCAUCUAAUCAGUCUUGUAGAGCUCUGUUUAUACAACGGCAACCUGACAUACAACAACCAUACAAGAAAGCUAAAAGUAACUCAUCAUCUAAUCAGUCUUGUAGAGCUCUGUUUAUACAACGGCAACCUGACAUACAACAACCAUACAAGAAAGCUAAAAUAAACUUGCCAGAAAAUUUAAGGGAUCUUGAAGUCUUUUUUCCAAAUGAACCACUUGGCAAGAACUUUUAAUGAAGAAAGGUUUUUUUUAUUAUUAUUAUACAAAGACAUAAUGCUUUGGAUGAAAGUAGGGAAAGAUUUCCUUUGGAAAAUUGUUUGUUUGGUGGCUUUUAAAGUUUUAUUUUCUUCUCUAACUGGUAGGCAAAAACUUUUAAUUGGUCAUUAUGUUUUAUGAAUAAUAAAGCUAAUCAGGUUAGAGUUGCUGAUGAGUCUGACAUUUAGGAAAAUUUCAAUACAAGUGUUCUCAUAUUUACAGUGGCAUUUAUUAAUCUGUAGUCACAAAUUAUUGGCCAGCACUAUUUUAAGGUAGUCCUCCAGUUUUUUUUUUUUUUUUUUUUUUUUUU